AAUCUCAUUAGUUUAAUUUUUAAAAUAUAACUCUGAAGAAGUUAAGAUGUAUGAGAUA
rnacentral:tRNA from 1 species